rnacentral:rRNA from 2 species
GACUGGGAUAACUUCGGGAAACCGAAGCUAAUACCGGAUAGGAUCUUCUCCUUCAUGGGAGAUGAUUGAAAGAUGGUUUCGGCUAUCACUUACAGAUGGGCCCGCGGUGCAUUAGCUAGUUGGUGAGGUAACGGCUCACCAAGGCAACGAUGCAUAGCCGACCUGAGAGGGUGAUCGGCCACACUGGGACUGAGACACGGCCCAGACUCCUACGGGAGGCAGCAGUAGGGAAUCUUCCGCAAUGGACGAAAGUCUGACGGAGCAACGCCGCGUGAGUGAUGAAGGCUUUCGGGUCGUAAAACUCUGUUGUUAGGGAAGAACAAGUACGAGAGUAACUGCUCGUACCUUGACGGUACCUAACCAGAAAGCCACGGCUAACUACGUGCCAGCAGCCGCGGUAAUACGUAGGUGGCAAGCGUUAUCCGGAAUUAUUGGGCGUAAAGCGCGCGCAGGCGGUUUCUUAAGUCUGAUGUGAAAGCCCACGGCUCAACCGUGGAGGGUCAUUGGAAACUGGGGAACUUGAGUGCAGAAGAGAAAAGCGGAAUUCCACGUGUAGCGGUGAAAUGCGUAGAGAUGUGGAGGAACACCAGUGGCGAAGGC